rnacentral:rRNA from 1 species
AUACGGAGGGUGCAAGCGUUAUUCGGAAUCACUGGGCGUAAAGGACGCGUAGGCGGGUUGGCAAGUCAGAUGUGAAAUCCUACAGCUUAACUGUAGAACUGCAUUUGAAACUGCUAACCUAGAGUAUGGGAGGGGGAGAUGGAAUUAGUGGUGUAGGGGUAAUAUCCGUAGAUAUCACUAGGAAUACCGAAAGCGAAGGCGAUCUCCUGGAACAUAACUGACGCUAAGGCGUGAAAGCGUGGGGAGCAAACAGGAGUAGAAACCCUAGUAGUCC